rnacentral:rRNA from 1 species
UACGGUGAAUACGUUCCCGGACCUUGUACACACCGCCCGUCAAGCCAUGGAAGCUGGGUGUACCUAAAGUCGGUAACCGCAAGGAGCCGCCUAGGGUAAACUAGUAACUGGGCU